GAUGAAGAACGCAGCGAAAUGCGAUAAGUAAUGUGAAUUGCAGAAUUCAGUGAAUCAUCGAAUCUUUGAACGCACAUUGCGCCCGCCAGCACUCUGGCGGGCAUGCCUGUUCGAGCGUCAUUUCAACCAUCAAGCCCCCAGGGGCUUGUGCUGGGGCCCUGCGGCUGCCCGCAGGCCCUGAAAACCAGUGGCGGGCUCGCUAGUCACACCGAGCGCAGUAGCACAUCUCGCUCAGGGCGUGCGGCGGGCUCCUGCCGUGAAACCCCCCACUGUAACCCCAAAGGUUGACCUCGGAUCAGGUAGGAAUACCCGCUGAACUUAAGCAUAUCAAUAAGCGGGGGA
rnacentral:misc_RNA from 1 species